rnacentral:lncRNA from 1 species
AGAAAAGGGCAGCAGCUGGGACCUUUUCCUCUUCCAGGCUCCUUACUCUCCAAAAAUACCUUGGCCUGAAGUCACUUGAGAGAAACCAGUUCUGUGAACAGCUACGCCAUUCUCGUGUCCAACCAUGGGUCCAACAGGGACAAAGAGUUCUGCAACUGUUUUGUUCUCCUUUCUGGAGCAUCUUUGAGGAUAAGAUGUGCAACCUUUUCAUCUUUGUGGGAGACAAGCUUAGCCCAGCCUCUGCGUACAGGAAUCCUAUGUCUUAAAUAUUUGAUCAAAGGAAGAAAUGAAGAAAAUGCAGAAGAGAGGAGGGAGCAAGGCCAAGUACAGGCAGCACGAGUGUGGGUGGUCAUGGGGGACAGUGGCAGACAUGGGAGACAUUGAGUUUCAUCACGCUUAGUGACGUUUUGUUGUACCCUUGAACUGUGUGUGCCACACUGUUGAGAGUGGCGUGUAGCUGAUGUGGAUUAAGACUGCCCCAGCUAGAGAAGCCCAAGGUGACCUGGCCUACGUGCCAAACUAUAUGACCCAGUGGAUUUUUUUAUGGUAUGAAUUAGGGCUGCCCCAGGGAGAGAAGCCCAGGGCAUCCUCACCUACAUGCCGAUCUAUAUGGCCAGAUUCGUAUCUAAAAGUUAUAUGACUGCACAAUAACCAGACCCCAUCUGCACUGAAAUCAUUUAAUGACUUUUUACAUCAUCUUUUCUUUUUCCGGUAAAAAUAAGUCACGUACCCAUGCCUUAUAAAAUUAGCCCUAACCCUCAACUCAGGGCAGCAGCAGCAGCUCUGACUGCCCAUGGGUCCUGUCCCCAUGCAGCAGCAGCAGCAGCUCUGACUGCCCAUGGGUCCUGUCCCCAUGCAGCAGCAGCAGAAGCUCUGACUGCCCAUGGGUCCUGUCCCCAUGCUAUUCCACACUAUUCUCUAAAUAAAAAGAGCACUACUGCC